CACACACACACACACUCUCUCUCACACACUCUGUUGUUGUUGUUGUAGGGAGUGCAGGUGUGGGGUUGGCUGGUGGUGUCUGAAGGUUCUCCGUGGGUCCGUGUUCUUCCCGUGCAGCGAUGCCAAACCGUCUGCCGCUCCUUCAGUCUGUGGCUGGAGCCGGGAGACGCAGUGUUCGCAGACCCGCGCUUCUGGCUGCUGGAGCUCUUCCCGUCUGGAGGUCAGAGCGUGCUGUGUGACGGCCCUGUGCUCUGAGAGCCUCAGCAGAGCUUAUAACCUCUCACACACACACACAGAUGCAUCAGCUCUUCUCCUCCGUUCUCUCAUUCAGACCUGCUUGUCUUUCUGCUGAGCUUCUGUGAUCUUCAGUUCUGAAAUGUGAGCCGCACGUGUUCAGCCAAUCAGAGCACUGAGAUCCUGACCGAGCGUUACGCGGCGGAACUCUCCACCAAUCAGAGAUGGCCGGCGGCGAUGACAUCAUCACCCAGCGCACCGCCGUCAGAUCGCGCCGAUGUUUUUUGUCGUCCGGAGUUUAAUCGCUGUAAAUAAUGCGAGUACAUGAUUCAGAGAUUUAUGGUGACUGUGAGUUUACUGCGGGAUUUCUACAGUAAAUAAACGCUGCUGUUCGUGAUUUAUGCCAUUCGU
rnacentral:lncRNA from 1 species